rnacentral:lncRNA from 1 species
GGUGGCCGGCUCUGACAGCGGCAGGAGGUGGCAGAGCAAGCCCGGCCACUCCCGGCGGCGGGCGGCGGCGAACAAGGCCAGCGGCGGAGCACUCGGCCGACCGAAUUUUUGGACCCAAGUUUCCGGCGAUUGGCCUGUUCCAAAACAUCAACACAUCAUGGCUAAUCACCAAGAGAGGAGGAGAAGGCUUACCUCAGCCCCGACGAAAGUCCGGCGGCUUUCUUCCUCUCCGGCGGUAAGGAAGAAGAAGACCCCUCGUACCGAAGAAGACCCAAAGCCCUCUAUCUCCCUCUCUCUUUCGCUCUCUCUCUCUCUCUCUGCCGGCAGCCCGAGGAGGAAGAACUCGGGCGUGGCGGCUCUACCUCGAGUGGUCUCAAAGGGGAGGAGAAUGCCCUAAAACAGGGGAUCCCGGCUUCUUCGGGAUGGAUCCCCUCCACCUCCUCACCGUGUGCCUUCACGUGCAACGCACGUGAGGCCGGAACUGGUGGCUGGGCCAGUCAAGUGGACCGAGCCCAGUUCGGUUCAAAGCUUGGGUCUCACACCUUUUCAACUAGAUGGUCAAGUAGACCAAGCCCAAUUCUACUGGGAAUUACACAAGGUAGACAAGGGAGGAGGAGGGCUACCUGCCAAGGAAGAGAUAGGAGAAAAGACCAACAACCAUGGAAGGAGGUUGGGAGGGAAAGCAAACACACAUGUUUUGGAAUUUAUUUAUGAAUACUGCUCGGCAUACCCUCAAUAUCCAAAAUUUGUGGGUUACAUAUUAAGCGUUUAGUUAUCUUCUUUAUGUGUAUCAAUUUUUAAGGGGUGUACAGUUGUGAAGGAGGAGGAGAUGAAGUUGGAGGUAGAGGAGGUGGCCAUGGGCCCCUAAAGUUGGCGGGGGCUGGCAGCGGCAAGGUGGUGAUCAGGAGGGACUUAAGAGAAAGGAUGGGGGAGAAAAUGGGAAAGGAAGGAGGAGAAGAGAAAAUCAUUAUUUUAAAUAAAUAUCCUAUUCAACAGGUUGCAACUUGUCAUGCGGCUAUUUUGACCAUAAGUUGAUUUAUAACAAGAUAAUCCUGAGUCGCAACUGAAUAAACAACUUGACUCACUAUGCAAUUUGAGUU